rnacentral:rRNA from 1 species
UGCAAGUCGCACGAGUGGUAACACUAGUGGCGCACGGGUGAGUAACACGUGGGAAUCUACCCUCAAGUUUUGGAUAACUAUUGGAAACGAUAGCUAAUACAAGAUGUGCUAGAAAUAGUAAAGUAUUUAUACGCUUGAGGAUGAGCCCGCGGUUGAUUAGUUAGUUGGUGAGGUAAGAGCUUACCAAGACGAUGAUCAAUAGCUGUUCUGAGAGGAAGAUCAGCCACACUGGGACUGAGACACGGCCCAGACUCCUACGGGAGGCAGCAGUGGGGAAUUUUGGACAAUGGGGGCAACCCUGAUCCAGCAAUGCCGCGUGAGUGAAGAAGGCCUUAGGGUUGUAAAACUCUUUUACUGAUGAAGAUGAUGACGGUAAUCAGAGAAUAAGUUCCGGCAAACUUCGUGCCAGCAGCCGCGGUAAUACGAAGGGAACUAGCGUUGUUCGGAAUCACUGGGCGUAAAGCGUGAGUAGGCGGCUGUAUAAGUCAGAUGUGAGAUCCUUAAUCUCAAGUUAAGAACUGCAUUUGAAACUGUACAGCUAGAGAGUAGUAGGGGGUAAUGGAAUUCCAAGUGUAGAGGUGAAAUUCGUAGAUAUUUGGAGGAACACCAGUAGCGAAGGCGUUUACCUGGGCUACAACUGACGCUGAGUCACGAAAGUGUGGGGAGCAAACAGGAUUAGAUACCCUGGUAGUCCACACUGUAAAUGAUGAGUGCUAGAUGUUGGGAACAUUAAGUUUUCAGUAUCUGAGCUAACGCAUUAAGCACUCCGCCUGAGUAGUACGGUCGCAAGAUUAAAACUCAAAGAAAUUGACGGGGACCCGCACAAGUGGUGGAGCAUGUGGUUUAAUUCGAAGCUACGCGCAGAACCUUACCAGGGCUUGACAUUUUAGUUAUGAUUGGUGGAAACAUCGAUUGUCAUUUAGUUGGACUAAAACAGGUGCUGCAUGGCUGUCGUCAGCUCGUGUCGUGAGAUGUUGGGUUAAGUCCCGCAACGAGC